CCUACGGGGGGCUGCAGUGAGGAAUAUUGGUCAAUGGACGAGAGUCUGAACCAGCCAAGUCGCGUGAAGGAAGACGGUUCUAUGAAUUGUAAACUUCUUUUGUGCAGGAAUAAAGUGGGUUACGUGUAACCUUUUGUAUGUACUGUACGAAUAAGGAUCGGCUAACUCCGUGCCAGCAGCCGCGGUAAUACGGAGGAUCCGAGCGUUAUCCGGAUUUAUUGGGUUUAAAGGGUGCGUAGGUGGAUUGAUAAGUCAGCGGUGAAAGUUUGCAGCUUAACUGUAAAAUUGCCGUUGAAACUGUCGGUCUUGAGUGCAAAUGAGGUAGGCGGAAUGUGUUGUGUAGCGGUGAAAUGCUUAGAUAUAACACAGAACUCCGAUUGCGAAGGCAGCUUACUGGGAUGCAACUGACACUGAUGCACGAAAGCGUGGGUAUCAAACAGGAUUAGAUACCCUGGUAGUC
rnacentral:rRNA from 1 species